GAUGAACGCUAGCUACAGGCUUAACACAUGCAAGUCGAGGGGUAACGAGAGGGAAGCUUGCUUUCCUUGUCGACGACCGGCGCACGGGUGAGUAACGCGUAUCCAACCUGCCCCCAACUAGGGAAUAACCUUGCGAAAGUAAGACUAAUACCCUAUAAUUUCCUCAGAUGUCAUCUGACGAGGAAUAAAGAUUUAUCGGUUGUGGAUGGGGAUGCGUCUGAUUAGCUUGUUGGCGGGGUAACGGCCCACCAAGGCAACGAUCAGUAGGGGUUCUGAAGGGAAGGUCCCCCACAGUGGAACUGAGACACGGUCCAAACUCCUACGGGAGGCAGCAGUGAGGAAUAUUGGUCAAUGGGCGGAAGCCUGAACCAGCCAAGUAGCGUGCAGGAUGACGGCCCUAUGGGUUGUAAACUGCUUUUAUACAGGAAUAAAGUUAGCCACGUGUGGUUAUUUGUAGGUACUGUAUGAAUAAGGACCGGCUAAUUCCGUGCCAGCCGCCGCGGUAA
rnacentral:rRNA from 1 species